UAUCACAACAAGAAAUUUCUCACCCAACAGGUUCUUCUACUAGUUUCUCUCGCUUCAGAGUCUGCGCCUUGAAAUCAUAAAGAUUUUCAAAAAAUGUCAAACUGAAGGAUUUUCAGGUUUGGAUCAUCUCCAACGCUCUCGGUCAAGUCAGUCCAGUAUUGCAUGAAUGCCGACAAAGACAAGACAUCUGUUGAAACACUGAGGAUGAACAUAAGAUGUAAUACUGUGGUUUUGCUCUUUUGGG